AAUCAACGCUGGCGGCGUGCCUCAGACAUGCAAGUCGAACGAUUAAAGCUCUCUUCGGAGAGUGCAUAGAGUGGCGCACGGGUGAGUAACACGUAAGUAAUCUACCCUCGAGUGGGGAAUAACAGUCGGAAACGACUGCUAAUACCGCAUAAUGCAGCGGCACCGCAAGGUGACAGUUGUUAAAGGAGCAAUCCGCUUGAGGAGGAGCUUGCGGCAGAUUAGCUAGUUGGUAGGGUAAUGGCUUACCAAGGCUACGAUCUGUAUCCGGUCUAAGAGGACGGUCGGACACACUGACACUGAAUAACGGGUCAGACUCCUACGGGAGGCAGCAGUCGGGAAUCUUGGGCAAUGGGCGAAAGCCUGACCCAGCAACGCCGCGUGAAGGAUGAAGUAUUUCGGUAUGUAAACUUCGAAAGAAUAGGAAGAAUAAAUGACGGUACUAUUUAUAAGCUCCGGCUAACUACGUGCCAGCAGCCGCAGUAAUAC
rnacentral:rRNA from 1 species